rnacentral:rRNA from 1 species
UACGGAGGGUGCAAGCGUUGCUCGGAAUCACUGGGCGUAAAGCGACCGCAGGCGGUCGGACAAGUCGGAUGUGAAAGCCCUGGGCUCAACUCAGGAAUUGCAUUCGAAACUGGCUGACUCGAGUACGGGAGAGGGGGGUGGAAUUCCUGGUGUAGGGGUGAAAUUCGUUGAUAUCAGGAGGAACACCGGCGGCGAAGGCGGCCCCCUGGCCCGCAACUGACGCUCAUGGUCGAAAGCGUGGGGAGCAAACAGG